UACGGGGGGGGGCAAGCGUUGUUCGGAAUUACUGGGCGUAAAGGGCUCGUAGGCGGCCAACUAAGUCGGAUGUGAAAUCCCCAAGCUUAACUUGGGAACUGCAUCCGAUACUGGAUGGCUUGAAUCCGGGAGAGGGAUGCAGAAUUCCAGGUGUAGCGGUGAAAUGCGUAGAUAUCUGGAGGAAUACCGGUGGCGAAGGCGGCAUCCUGGACCAUUACUGACGCUGAUGCGCGAAAGCCAGGGGAGCGAACGGG
rnacentral:rRNA from 1 species